GCCUCAAGUGCCACGCAAACGCACACAAACACGCAAUAUACAUGAGCGUCUCGGCGCAACGUGAGGGGGCUGUGGCCGAAAUUGCACGACGGGAGUGCGCGCUGCUCACAAGACUGGCCACUACCAACCGACGGAACAGGGUGUACAGGCACCACCUCUUUUUCCGCCGCUCUCGCCACGCCGUGCAACUUGCAAGGAAGUGCUACAACGCAGCGAAUCCUAACUUACAGAGGCGCAAUGAGAGACGACAGUCCGCGGCGCUGCUCUCGGCGCACCGCGCGCUGAUCAAGGCAGUGGAGCACUGCACUGCGGAGCUGGCCGCUAACCGCAUUGACACAAUCGCCCUUUGCGUCGCAUUCAUCGGCAUCUUGUCACGACUGGGUUGCUGCGUAGGGCAGACGAUCUUGCUGAAUGGCGGCGCAGCGCUGCUCCCCAGCUCGUGGCCGGACUCCUACGCUCGCUACCUGGCAGCGGCUGUCCUCGCGCAGCCAUCGACGAGUCCCUCCCCUCCUCCCCCGUCUGCCACUCACCGCAUCGCUCCGCCAGACAAUCAGCGAGAAAAGAGCAGCAGUCGCUCUUACGGUGACAUUGUGAACCAGCUGGUGAAGCAAACGGCAAGGAGGAAACGCUAGUGGAAAAGACGCUCGCGUAAGAAGCCGCAAGGUACCCGUUGCCCCCCGCCUCACAUAGCCACGUUCUUUUUGUUUUCCCACGUGUCCUUCUAUCACGAACAGGUCCAAAAGAGAUGCAUGCACAACCACCGUUCACCUACCUCUGUUGCACUGCCGCUAUGUCAAGCAACCAGGCCGACGAGCACCGUUUGGUGUCCUUCAGACCAUCGUAAUGCCACCGCGUGCAGCGCAGGCAAGAACCGGGUUUACACUCUCAGCACCACCGCAACGCAGCUAAAGCAGGAAAACAAGAGGCGGAUGCGUGUUUUUGUUGAAUCGCCGACACAAUUCGCAGCGAGCUCGUACAAACGUGGUCAUGACCGCAUGCCUCUUUGGUAAAGCGCCAGCCCAGGCCUGCCCGCCGGCACCGAGUAUCCGCAGUCGCUCCCGAGGGAAGGCCGCGGGGUAUUGGCUUUUUUUCCCGGUUGGGCGCUUGGCCCCGAUAAAACGCCCAGGCGGGCGGCGCCAGCGAGGCAACAUGCAAACCACCGCCCCCCCCCCCGGGGGAACAGACGCGACACGAAAGCGGCUCCGCGCAAAAAGCCAAAAAAGCCGACCAGCGCAAACAGAAAGGCACGGUCGCCGGGAAACGAACACCACGCCAGGAGAACCCCCCGGCCAGACGCCCGGCAAACAAAACAAGGCCGCACGAUCGACCCUGCCCAGGAGACCCCACGAAAAGCUACACACCGCAACGCAAAACCACGGACAAAACCCCAAGUCCGAAAAAAAAAAACCAACGAAACCAGCGAAAAAGACGACGACAUUACGGUAACUUCCGCCUCCAAUGAACGAGGACAGCCCAGAUAAGCGAAAACCCCCUUUCGGCCAAUCCGGAGAACUCAGUCGCCUCUUUCACAGCAAAGCAUCUGCAAACCGUCAACAAAAACGCGGCCCCCGCAAGAAUGCGCACCCCUUCAAUGAAACCGCAAACGAACCCUGUAAUCCGGCAACCCUCUCCCUACAACAUUCAACAGGCCGUAAAGCCUUUCAACGGCCACACAACUUCUUAAACGAACGCCCAUUCCUUUCCCCUCCGUGCCUACACCUUCGCCACACGUGCGACCUGGGUUCCGCCCCCCGCCCCCCGAGGGCAGCGGCCGCUUGCCGAAAGGCCCGAACAGCCCACCCACCCCCGGACCCCGCCCUAAACACGGCCCACCAAGCCGAAACGCCCCCCACCCCAACGACGGCGAAAGCACGCCCCGCUACGCCACAAGCCGCCCAGAGAUCGGCCGCCGGCAUCCGUGCCACUGCAUCGCACUGACCUCCCCACGUCCUAGGCACCCUGGCCCUGUCACCACCAGGGGGUGGUUCGGCAGUGGCUGGGAUAGGGAGGGAGGGGGGAGGAGGCUGCUCGGCUUCCCCACCCAAAGUGAGGCCUCUCUCCUCCUCGAGAGGGAGAAAGGAGAAUGAGAAGGAAAAACAUAAACAACCAAAAAAAACAAGAAAAGAGGUUCGCUGGAACAAGAGAGAGGUGAGCGAGAUGGCUCAAACAACAGAGAGCCCAACGCGCAGUGGGAACACGCGGACGCAGAGGACGGGAGCCCAUGCAAGGAAGGCAGGAGCAAAACAAAACGGAAGGUCCGAAGAGAGCGAGCAAUGUAGCAACGAGGAGGAGCGGCAGAGUGAGGAGGAGUCGGGCACGCGCACCCCCACACCCACGCACACGCGCAUAAAUCACAAGGGGGAAUCACAUAAUAGUGUGGUGCCCUGGCACGUCUCAGACUUUGCCGCCGGCGCGUCCGCAUGCCUCUGCGUGUGCACAUGCACCGGCAAAAAAAAGGGGUCCGGCGGAAGCGAACGCGCACAUGUCCGCACAUUAUAAACCAUUUUGCGUUUUGCUUCCACGUGUCCAUUCCUGCGCCACACAACAUGCGCUAAGCUCCACUCUACCGGGUCUGCAACAGGCACCCAGCGCGCGGUGCAACGCAGCCGCAGACACGCAUCACAGCAGCGCCCGCUUUUCAUCGGGCCAGGGACUCGCCCGCAAACACUAGCGACACACCUGCCCUUCAGGCCGCCGAACAGCCGCUUCGAGUAUGCCGGUCGCCACGUGACACAUCGCUCGGGGUAGCCCAGCCUCCCCACCAGUAGGCAGCGAGAGCCGAGUGGGAUGCAUUGGAUUCACGCCAACGCCCUGCCCAUCAUAUGGGCGGCGCAAGCGCGCUGACGGUUUCAAGUUGCCCCAAAGGCGCGCCAUCCAGCCGCCGACCGCAAACAUCAGUAGCGACACAUCCCGCCGGCCCCCGAUGCCUAGGGCGCCAAGCCCCACCACAACCAGUGGUGACGCAGCAUUGCCCAGGAAAGGGGCCGCGUAGAUUCCCCAAAGCUGUUCCCGGACCACCGCACCGCACCAAAGCCGCAACCGCAGCCACCCCAAACAGCGCCCGACCACCACAACCCGCGCAGCAGAUCUUUUUUUUUUGCCCCGCAGCGGCUGUAAAGAAAAGCAACCUUCCCGCGCUGCCCCUGGCCCUCGUCUUUCCGCGGCGCCGCGCACAUCGGCUCAUAUGAAAGGGCAAAUAAACGAAAAAUCAAAUUUCGACAGGCCCGCAAGGUCGCAAAAGGAAAGGACAGGGGUUUGCUAUAGCUUUUUAAUUUCAAAAAAGGCCGACGAAGGGCAGCAAACGCCUACUGGAACAAAAGCGAAAGAAAACAAGGAAAAUUUAGUCAAGAAAAUUAAAAACCCACAGCAGCACAGCACCGUCCGGAAAGAAGUCGACAUAAACACAGACUACAAAAAAACUUGCCAUUAGGCUAUCCGUAAAACUCGGCCUAUUGGCAAGAAAUUGACGGCGGCCAACAAACCCCGGGAAGAGGGGCCCGCGCAGCCAAACGCCCGCGCAAGAAAACGCCGCCCCAAAGCUGAAAGGGG
rnacentral:misc_RNA from 1 species